rnacentral:sRNA from 2 species
CCUCAACACAGUAACAUAUAGAAAUAUUUUAUUGGAACAUAUAUCUAUCAAUAGCUGAAUAUCAUUCAGCAUGACAAAAAAAACAUGAUAAUAUCUAUUAGAAUCAUUUGAUUCAUGGCAUCAGGAUUCAGGAAAGUGGGUUUAGCGUGCGCGGUAGGCACCACUCUGACCGCUUUGACCCAAAAAAAAAAAAAAAAAAAAAAACACCCUAGUCCCUAUGGUGGGAUUUAAUAGGAUAUAAAAAGAAACAAAAUAUAUUUUGUUUUACACCAUGCUCUAGAGUCCAGCCGUUUUGUGUUUCGCGUACCUGCAAGCAUUUCUUUCUUUUUAUGGCGUGCGUGUGACUUCGUUUCCGAUUCCAUUUACACCUAGUCACGAGGACCUCAUCCCGAAAAUCCCAGCAAAAAGUGCAGGGAAUGGAACAUGAUUUAGCAAAGGGAUUUGACGGGGAAUAUGAAUCUCGAAUGAAACAUUCAAAAACGACAUAGGCUAAAAACCAUGGGGUGGGGGAUUUUCCCCGCGGAUAGGUUGGGAAAGGGGGAGCUCAAUAUGCCCCCCAUGAAAAUGCCAUACCCCAGGGUGUCCGCUCUCUGCGUUGGUACAGGACAAGGUCCGAAAAGGUGCUUGGUACGCAUGGAAAGGCCCAAAUUCUAGCGGGAACGUGUAUUUGUAUCAUCUCGAUUAUUAUCACUAUUUGAGGAUGGAUUUUAGAGAGAGUAUUCAUGUAGUAACAAAAGGAGGGGACCAACAAGAUUGGGUAUAUGUACUGAUAUACUGAAAGACGGAAGGAGAAUAUGAUUAAAACAGGGACCAAGUUGAAAAGGGAAUUUUUUUCAUAGUGAAACCCGCGCAAGUAAAAAGUGAAAUUUUAUUGAAACAAGAGGAAACAAGAAACAGUUAGAAAAAAAAUCUCGUUAUGCAUAGGAAAAUUUCAAGAUGCAAAAUGGCGCUGAUUGUGACGUGAAAAACGAUAUCGUCAGAACACACAUACCUAGAAUUUGAAUAUAUCAAACAACGCCUGCAUGCAAUAUAGAGUGGGAAAAGGAAGGCAAUGACUUGCCCAGUUGGUACAAAGUCAUGCAAGAUAUGCAACAUUAGUUUUAGUCACACCACUCACACACAACAAGAAGAAAAGAAAACAAAAGGAAAGUAAAGGAAAACGUCAAUCCUUAUUAAUAACCCUCAAACUCCGCCGAGGAUUCAACAUCACACCCAAA